rnacentral:tmRNA from 1 species
GGGGUUGUCUAGACUCGACAGGGCGUACUUUUAAAAUAGGCAAGCCGACCUUGAGGGCAUGGUCGUAAAACUCGCUCUCACGAUGAUAAAUGCAAACUUCAUCACCAAAGCAAAGAACGCAAUCGCGCAAGCAUUUGCUCCGUCUUUCGCUCCUGCUCUCGCCUAAAGUUAGGUGAGAGAGCCCAGCCCGCAAGGGCUACGCUCCAGCGUUGCUGGCGGGCAUCGGACUCCUCAUUCUCGAUAAGGAUUUCUCCGGUGCCAUAUCAUCGAGGCGACGCGAGGAUAUUUCCUACUCCUUCAUUCUCAAGUUGUAUUGCAAAGGAGCAGCGUUCGGAAGGAUUUUGUCAGCUUUCUACCUUCUGAUCGUACCCAAAGCCGACUACGCUUGUAGACUAUUUUAGAUACUCGUUACUGGACAUGGGUGCAAUUCCCAUCAACUCCACCA